AGUGAACGCUGGCGGUAGGCCUAACACAUGCAAGUCGAACGGCAGCACAGUAAGAGCUUGCUCUUACGGGUGGCGAGUGGCGGACGGGUGAGGAAUACAUCGGAAUCUACUUUUUCGUGGGGGAUAACGUAGGGAAACUUACGCUAAUACCGCAUACGACCUACGGGUGAAAGCAGGGGAUCUUCGGACCUUGCGCGAUUGAAUGAGCCGAUGUCGGAUUAGCUAGUUGGCGGGGUAAAGGCCCACCAAGGCGACGAUCCGUAGCUGGUCUGAGAGGCUGAUCAGCCACACUAGAACUGAGACACGGUCCAGACUCCUACGGGAGGCAGCAGUGGGGAAUAUUGGACAAUGGGCGCAAGCCUGAUCCAGCCAUACCGCGUGUGUGAAGAAGGCCUUCGGGUUGUAAAGCCCUUUUGUUGGGAAAGAAAAGCAGCAGGUUAAUACCCCGCUGUUCUGACGGUACCCAAUGAAUAAGCACCGGCUAACUUCGUG
rnacentral:rRNA from 1 species